rnacentral:rRNA from 1 species
GGUUGAUCCUGCCAGUAGUCAUAUGCUUGUCCCAAAGACUAAGCCAUGCAUGUCCAAGUAUAAACCAAUAUUUAUACGGUGAAACUGCGAAUGGCUCAUUAUAUCAGUUAUAAUUUAUUUGAUGGUCUCUUUACUACUUGGAUAACCGUGGUAAUUCUAGAGCUAAUACAUGCCAAGAACCUGACUACUCUUGAGUGGAAAGGUUGUAUUUAUUAGAUCACAAACCAAUGCCUUUGGGCUUUUUGGUGAUUCAUAAUAACUUUGCGGAUCGUAUGGCCUCGUGCUGACGACG